AUUGAACGCUGGCGGCACGCCUUACACAUGCAAGUCGAACGGUAACGCGGGGCAACCUGGCGACGAGUGGCGAACGGGUGAGUAAUGCAUCGGAACGUGCCCAGUUGUGGGGGAUAACUGCUCGAAAGAGCAGCUAAUACCGCAUACGACCUGAGGGUGAAAGCGGGGGAUCGCAAGACCUCGCGCAAUUGGAGCGGCCGAUGUCGGAUUAGGUAGUUGGUGGGGUAAAGGCCCACCAAGGCGACGAUUCGUAGCUGGUCUGAGAGGACGACCAGCCACACUGGGACUGAGACACGGCCCAGACUCCUACGGGAGGCAGCAGUGGGGAAUUUUGGACAAUGGACGCAAGUCUGAUCCAGCCAUGCCGCGUGCGGGAAGAAGGCCUUCGGGUUGUAAACCGCUUUUGUCAGGGAAGAAAUCUUCUGGGUUAAUACCUCGGGAGGAUGACGGUACCUGAAGAAUAAGCACCGGCUAACUACGUGCCAGCCGCCGCCGUAAGAC
rnacentral:rRNA from 1 species